rnacentral:rRNA from 1 species
AUGGCGACGCAGCAGCCGGGCGGCCUCCCGGACCACCAGGCCCGCGCGCUCUCCGCCGCCUACACCGGCGUCUGCGCCACCAAGGAGCCUGUCCGGACCCCCGGCGACCUAGCCCGUCUCAAGGGAGUUGGAGGUUGGGUUGUUGAUGUUAUGGAAGACUCCUUUCCAGGGUCCAGCCUUGAUUUGUCUCCUCCGAGAAGUAACACACCAGGAGAAACAGGGAAGAAGAACACACGAAACAAACCUUAUGUGCCACGGUUGAAAUCAGCUGCUUAUGCAAUAAUGAUCACACUCUACAGGGAAAUGGAAAGAGGGAAGGAAUUUAUGAUGAGGCAAGAGCUUAUUGAUGCUGCUAAGGCCAGUGGUCUGUCAGAACAUGCAAUAGGCUCAAACAACAGUAGGAAUUCUCGGAAUGACGGUUACAGUUACACUGGAUGGAAUAGCAUGAAGAAGUUAACAAAUAAGGAUCUGGUUAAGAAAAAGAGUAAUCCUGCAAAAUCCAAAAAUGCGGCUAACCUUUGGACUCUGGUGUGUUUUUGCUGUUUGGCACAUGUGUUCUCUAGUAAUUUAACUUGUAUCAAGAAACAUUCCUACUUCAACAACGGCGGUGCUACUAAUUCUCCUCUUUCAUCUCGAGGAAUGUUUGGACAACAAUCGUUUAACUUGAUCCAUUCGGGUCGGGUCACUACAUUACUAGCUAUGCCACCUCAUCAAUCUAAUGAAAGUUUUCUGAAAGCUUAUGAAGUGGUGCUGAUAUUGGAUGAUCGAGAUACUUUCGGGCCCCGUUCCAGAAGAAAAGUUGUUGAUAAUAUACGCUCGCAGUUUAAUAUUCCUGUAGAGAUUAAGCACUUGCCUGUUGGAGAUGCUCUUUGGAUUGCUCGCCAUAAAGAACUUGACACGGAGUAUGUUCUUGAUUUCAUUGUUGAAAGGAAAAAUGUGGAUGAUUUACUUGGCUCAACUAAAGACAAUAGAUACAAAGAUCAAAAACUAAGACUGAAGAAAUGUGGGCUAAGGAAGCUAAUAUAUCUAGUUGAAGGAGAUGUAAACACUGUAGAUGGAUCAGAGAGCGUUAAAAUAGCGAUUGAUGUCCAGAGAACCACUGGGUAUGCUGAAACUGAAAAGAAAUACAGCCACCUCACGGGCUCUAUAAUUGAUUACUACAGUAGAAACUUCUCUGCUGGUGCUGAUACCUCUCGACUUUGCCUGACCUACGACGAGUUUGUGAAGAGGUGUUCUGACCUUGAGAAGGUCACUAUGAGCGAUAUAUUCACCCUUCAGCUUAUGCAGGUGCCACAAGUGACAGAAGAAGCUGCUCUUGCUGUCACGAGUCUCUACCCCACUCUUCUCUCGCUUGCUAAGGCGUACACCAUGCUUGAUGGCGAUAGGCGUGCACAGGAGGAGAUGCUGAAGAACAAGAACAACAUGGUCAACGCAGGGGCUAGCAAGAACAUCUUCAAGCUCUUCUGGGCGGAAGGAUGA